UGAGGGUGCACCUGUGCGAGGGGACGCCAGGGGAAGGGAAAGGCCGCUGGCCUCCGUCCCGGCGGGGAAGUGGCUCCGGUGCUGGCCGCGGAGAGAUCAUGUCGACCUAAUGAUCCCAUGAGGUUUAAACAGCUAACAUUUAGGUCUGUACUCAACUAAAUCCUCAUCUCUGGCCUUUAUCCUCAUGGUGGACUUCAGCUUAUCAGAUGUCUGCUGGAAAUGCAAAACAGUUUAGAGGAAACAGUCAAGGAGGCUCCUGGACUGUGUGGAAGGUGGCUUCCCCACACAUCUGGUGAGUGUGCCAGCUGGGGAAGCUGCCCUGCUGGAGCUCCUGUUUGUGAACAGAAGAGGACUGUAGGUGAUGUAAUGGUCAGCAGCAGUCUUGGGCACAGCAGCCAUUAAAUGAUAAGACGUUCCUAUUCUUGGAAAACUAAGGAGGAGCUCAGCAGAAUUGCUGUCUUGGACUCCCAAAGCCUUGGCAGGCUUUCUCCUUUUUAGGAGCCUCAUUGGUAGAGUCCCUUGGGAGGCAGUCCUGAAGGGCAAAGUAUUCCAGGAAAGCUGGAUGUUCCUCAAGAAGGGACUUUUAAAGACACUGGUGCAGGCUGUCCCCAUCUGCCAAAAGACUGCGAUGGCUGAACAGAGAGCUUUAUCUGGAACUCAGGAAAAAAAGGAGAGUUGAUUACCUUUGGAAGAAUGGCCUGGCAGCUCAGCAGGACUACAAGGACAUCAUGAGGUCUUGCAGGGAGGAAAUCGGAAGGACCAAAACCCAGCUAAGACUUAACCUGGCUACUGUAAAAGACAAUAAAACUGUUUCAAUAAAUACCUUUGUGACAAAUGAAGGAAGCGCCAUGGAGGCUCUCCAUCCUUUGUUGAAUGGGAGGGGAAACACAGAGAAUGAAGAAAAGGCUGAGCUGCUGACACAGUUUCCAAAGCUUUAACUUCUUCAGGUCAAAGGGCACAGCAGGCUGCUGCACUGCUCCAGCACAGAUUGAUUGGUAGAUGGAGAACAAGUCCUCUUCCUACGGUGCCUUUCCUCCUACAGAGAUUUUGUGUAGAAACUUGCAUGCAGCUGAGCCUUCCCUGUGUUGGCCAGGGAGAUGGUGGGCGAUUGGAACUGGUCUGGCUUGGUCCAACAUCCACAAGUGGCAGCAGAAACUGCACUAAACUGUGCCUGUCUUGCUGCAGGACUCAGGUGGAGACAUCCCUGCCCAGCGUGAAAACUGAGUCCAUAACAGGGUGCUGCUAAAGCCUGCUGAUGAUCUCAUCCACGCUUCCAGACCACUCAAGCCUGUCCAGCAAGCCAGGCUGUACAAUGGAGGAGGUGGCCAAGAAAAGCAAAGAGACAAAUUGCUUCACUGUUGUAUCUGCUGUGACUGCUAAAGAAAGAUGGGAAACCAAGGCAAUUGCCAAGGUUAUUACUGAUUUCACCAUUUGCUGCCUUUCACAGUAAUAUUAGGUGUUCAUCCUCCAUUUUUGAAAGUUAGUAGUUCUACAUUUCAUUUAAUCAUUAGAAUAUAAUAAAACACAAUAACACUUUAAAAUUUUUGUCAAGUUAUUUUGAGAAAUAUGGUUCUUGGUGUUUUUAAAUUUUUAACUCAAUUUUCAUGAGGAGGGAAGGAAAGCACAUUGAACUCCUCAUGUAUUCCAAUAUAAUUUCCCAGACUUUGGUAUAGCUCAAAGCUUUAUGUGGAAAAGCCAAUUAAGGCUGAUCCUGGCACUUUAGCAGCACCAGUAAGUAACUUACCUUAAGACCAAAGACACCAAAACUAUAGUCAAGGAUUCUUAGUGACAAUGUAGCUCAAGUGCAGGAAUACACAUGUCUGCAUUAAUUUUGAACUUAAAUUUUAUCUGUACUGAGUGAAAUAAAAAUACCCUCUUCUCUGACAUAGAAGUCUGCUCCAUUUUGAAUUUGACUCGGGCAUUUAAAAAAUAGCUUUCUCUAUCUGUCAGUGAGGACAGAUUCAAAUAUCCAGGAUUGUAGUAGCCUUUUUCCCCACUUCAAUGUGAGCAAAGUGACCAGAGACUAUCACAAGGAGAACAAAGAGACUUUAUCAUCUAAGCUUACUUCUUACUAUCCACGAUUGGUGAACGUAUGUUGCAGCUUUGAAAGAAAACAAUAACUCUGCAGGAUUUUAGGCUUUUAUUAAAAAUUUAUGAAGCUAGCAAUUCAAAGUCAGUUAAAAUCUGAACCUAACUAUCCCAACUGUAGGAAAACUAACUACUAUGAAACAAUACAGUUACGGUUCAAAUAAUGAUAAUCAAAGUAAUUGUUGUAUAAAUAAAAUGUUAUGAAGUCACAAAUUAUUUGGAGCAAUGGGUGAGAUUAUCAAGGAAACACUGUAUGCUUUAAGUAGUGAAUGUAUGUAAUACACUCAGAAGAAGGCUUGAAGUAUGCUCUCAGUUCUUGAACAAGUGGUAUAUGAAGUACUGAAAUAUGAGUAUAUACAAAUAGAGGGAAUAUGCAUCAACAAAAGAGAAAAGUAGUGACUUAAGACUUUUUUUGUCUUGUGUUUUCCACUGGUUACAUGUAGAUAGCUUCCUGCUCAUCAUUUAAGUCUUCUAGAUCCCAUUUCAGGAGGAAUUUCGGCUAGGAUUUGAGAUGUGCUGCUUUAAAGGGGACCCAUGCUCUUAUUUUUUAUGGUCUGGCUCAGACCAGAUGUCUCAUGAAGUCUGGUGUAAAUGAUUCAGUAGUUAAGGGAAAAGAUAACAUCUUCAGUUGGUAUGGUCUUUGGAGGAUGAGGGUUAGAGCUGUAAUCAGCCAAUUUCAUUCCUCUUUGCUAAUUCAUACCAUGCAAUUUACUUUAAUCACGGGGCUCCUCAGGGUAGCAAGUUAUGUGACUUCGUGUUGUUCUCAUUUGGCCUGAAGACACUGGUGUUUUCUAGAGAAAACCAUAUGUGCCAAGUUUCCUACCUCAAUGAGAAAGAACAGUCCAUACUCAGUGGCACGUACUCAACUGGACAUUAGUGUAGCAUGCAGCAGACAAAUUCAGAGUAUAAAAAUCCACUCCAAGAUAAGUGACUGCAGAUAUGUUUUUUUCUUUCUCACAGCUUUUCUGUGAGUAGUAAAAACCUCUUCUAAGGAAUGAUGAAUCUGCAUGUGUAUUUAGUAUAUAUAUAUAUAUAUAUAUAUUUAUAUGUAAACUAUACAACAUAUUUAGAAAAAUUAAUAAACCUCGAAAAUACAGGAAUUGGAAUUUUAUACAUGUAAGUUUGAUUCCAGUGUAUAUCUCUCCAGCUUGAGAGAGAUAUAUCCCAACAGGAGGGUUUGACCUAUGUGUCUAUGCAAGUUUUGAAAAGGAAGCAGUUAUUUUGAAAAUCUUCUAUAUAAUGAAGAGGUCUGGAGAGCAGGAGUGUAAGAACACACACAGUUGCUUACAGAACAGAAGAAGAACAUCACAUUUGUAAACAAGGAAUGUGUAACUUCUGAGUUAUAUUUA